rnacentral:pre_miRNA from 1 species
UUACUACUCCCUCCGUUCGAAAUUACUCGUCCAAGAAAUGAAUGUAUCUAGAUGUAUUUUAGUUGUAGAUACAUCCAUUUUUGUGACAAGUAAUUCCGAAUGGAGGGAGUACUUU